rnacentral:snoRNA from 1 species
CCCCUCUCAAGAGCGCACUUGGAGAGUUUCCAGUACUCUACCAGUCUCGACUACGGGAGGGAGAGUCGAGCAGAGGCAUACCCAUUCCAUUCCUAGCUUGGCCAGUGGCUAGCGAGUGGGAGGCAAUCUGCUACAAGU